GAUGAACGCUGGCGGCGUGCUUAACACAUGCAAGUCGAACGAUGAAGCCCAGCUUGCUGUGUGGAUUAGUUGCGAACGGGUGAGUAACACGUGAGUAACCUGCCCUUAACUCUGGGAUAAGCCUGUUAAACUGGGUCUAAUACCUGAUAGGAGCGUCCACCGCAUGGUGGGUGUUGGAAAGAUUUAUCGGUUUUGUAUAGACUCUCGGCCUAUCAGCUUUUUGGUGAGUUAAUGGCUCACCAAGGCGACGACGGGUAGCCGGCAUGUGAGGGUGACCGGCCACCCUGGGACUGAGACACGGCGCAGAAUCGUACGGGAGGCAGCAGUGGGGAAUAUUGCGCAAUGGGGGCGAGCCUGAUGCAGAGACGCCGCGUGAGGAAUGACGGCCUUCGGGUUGUAAACCUCUUUCAGUAGGGAAGAAGAGAAAGUGACGGUACCUGAAGAAGAAGCCCCGGCUAACUACGUG
rnacentral:rRNA from 1 species